rnacentral:rRNA from 1 species
UACAGAGACCUCAAGCGUUAUCCGGAAUCAUUGGGCGUAAAGCGUACCGAUAGGUGGUUCUACAAGUCAGAAGUGAAAUUCCAAAGCUCAACUUUGGGACUGUCUUUUGAAACUGUAGGACUUGAGGGGCAAAGAGGAAGCUGGAACGAACGGUGUAGUAGUGAAAUGCGUUGAUAUCGUUCGGAACACCAAUAGCGUAGGCAGGCUUCUGGGUGCCACCUGACACUGCUAGGACGAAAGCGUGGGGAGCGAAUGGG